AUCCCAUGAUUUGGACACUUCCUCAUCAAUUCUUUAAAUCUAUUCCAUGUCUCGUGAUAGCUCUCCCCAUCUCUCUAUUAAAAGGUUUAAAUUUCUAGUCUGAUUUU
rnacentral:snoRNA from 1 species